rnacentral:rRNA from 1 species
UACGUAGGAUGCAAGCGUUGUCCGGAAUUAUUGGGCGUAAAGAGCGCGCAGGCGGUCUAUCAAGUCAGAUGUGAAAUAUCCCGGCUUAACCGGGAGGGGUCAUUUGAAACUGGUAGACUAGAGUACAGCAGAGGAUAGUGGAAAUUCCCGGUGUAGUGGUGAAAUGCGUAGAUAUCGGGAGGAACACCAGUGGCGAAGGCGACUAUCUGGGCUGAAACUGACGCUGAGGCGGCGAAAGGCUGAGGGGAGCAAACAGGG